rnacentral:SRP_RNA from 1 species
ACUGGGUACUGUGGUGCACACCUGCAGUCCCAGCUAUUUGGAGGCUGAGACAGAAGGAUUACUGAAGUCCAGGAGUUCUGCACUGUCGCGUGCUGUUUGGCAUCAAUACGGUGACCUCCCAGGAGCAGGGGGCCGCCAGGUUGCCUAAGAAGGGGUGAACCAGCCCAGGUCGGAAAUGGAGCAGGUCAAAACUCCUGUGGUGAUCAGAUGUGUGAUUGCUCAGCCAGGUGUGGUGGCUCAUUCCUGU